UACAGAGGUCUCAAGCGUUGUUCGGAUUCAUUGGGCGUAAAGCGCGUGUAGGCGGUUCGGUAAGUCCGCUGUGAAAGUCGGGGGCUCAACCCUCGAAAGCCGGUGGAUACUGUCGAACUAGAGUGCGGAAGAGGCGAGUGGAAUUCCUGGUGUAGCGGUGAAAUGCGCAGAUAUCAGGAGGAACACCAAUUGCGAAGGCAGCUCGCUGGGACGUUACUGACGCUGAGACGCGAAAGCGUGGGGAGCAAACAGG
rnacentral:rRNA from 1 species